rnacentral:rRNA from 1 species
UACGAAGGGGGCUAGCGUUGCUCGGAAUCACUGGGCGUAAAGGGUGCGUAGGCGGGUCUUUAAGUCAGGGGUGAAAUCCUGGAGCUCAACUCCAGAACUGCCUUUGAUACUGGCGAUCUCGAGUCCGGGAGAGGUGAGUGGAACUGCGUGUGUAGAGGUGAAAUUCGUAGAUAUUCGCAAGAACACCAGUGGCGAAGGCGGCUCACUGGCCCGGUACUGACGCUGAGGUGCGAAAGCGUGGGGAGCAAACAGG